rnacentral:rRNA from 1 species
UACGGGGGGGGCAAGCGUUGUUCGGAAUUACUGGGCGUAAAGGGCUCGUAGGCGGCCAACUAAGUCGGGUGUGAAAUCCCCAAGCUUAACUUGGGAACUGCAUCCGAUACUGGAUGGCUUGAAUCCGGGAGAGGGAUGCAGAAUUCCAGGUGUAGCGGUGAAAUGCGUAGAUAUCUGGAGGAAUACCGGUGGCGAAGGCGGCAUCCUGGACCGGCAUUGACACUCAACUACGAAAGCGUGGGGAGCAAACAGG